GACGAACGCUGGCGGCGUGCUUAACACAUGCAAGUCGAACGGAAAGGCCCUGCUUUUGUGGGGUGCUCGAGUGGCGAACGGGUGAGUAACACGUGAGUAACCUGCCCUUGACUUUGGGAUAACUUCAGGAAACUGGGGCUAAUACCGGAUAGGAGCUCCUGCUGCAUGGUGGGGGUUGGAAAGUUUCGGCGGUUGGGGAUGGACUCGCGGCUUAUCAGCUUGUUGGUGGGGUAGUGGCUUACCAAGGCUUUGACGGGUAGCCGGCCUGAGAGGGUGACCGGCCACAUUGGGACUGAGAUACGGCCCAGACUCCUACGGGAGACAGCAGUGGGGAAUAUUACACAAUGGGCGGAAGCCUGAUGCAGCAACGCCGCGUGCGGGAUGACGGCCUUCGGGUUGUAAACCGCUUUCGCCUGUGACGAAGCGUGAGUGACGGUAAUGGGUAAAGAAGCACCGGCUAACUACGUG
rnacentral:rRNA from 1 species